rnacentral:rRNA from 1 species
CGAACGGGUGAGUAACGCGUGAGGAACCUGCCUCAAAGAGGGGGACAACAGUUGGAAACGGCUGCUAAUACCGCAUAAGCCCACGGCUCGGCAUCGAGCAGAGGGAAAAGGAGCAAUCCGCUUUGAGAUGGCCUCGCGUCCGAUUAGCUAGUUGGUGAGGUAAUGGCCCACCAAGGCAACGAUCGGUAGCCGGACUGAGAGGUUGAACGGCCACAUUGGGACUGAGACACGGCCCAA